rnacentral:rRNA from 1 species
UACGUAGGGUGCAGGCGUUGUCCGGAAUUAUUGGGCGUAAAGAGCUUGUAGGCGGUUUGUCGCGUCUGCUGUGAAAUUUCGGGGCUCAACCCCGAACUUGCAGUGGGUACGGGCAGACUAGAGUGUGGUAGGGGAGACUGGAAUUCCUGGUGUAGCGGUGAAAUGCGCAGAUAUCAGGAGGAACACCGGUGGCGAAGGCGGUUCUCUGGGCAUGACCUGACGCUGGAGGAGCGAAAGUGUGGGGAGCGAACAGG